rnacentral:lncRNA from 1 species
GUUAUAUAGUUGUAAUAGUGCAAUAAUAAUUUUUUUAUGUGCAAUAUAGAAUUUGCUGAAAUUCACUUCAUAGUUUUCAUUAAUUCAUUCUUUCAUUGAAGAACAUGAUACAGUCAAUAGUAAGAAGUGUUUGUUGGCACACUCAAUUAAUUCACUUCUAUUUGCAUUUUUAUGUAACCAUAACUCUUAAACUUUCUGGAGGGAUGAGAUGAAUAUUUUUCUCUUUAUAUUCAUAACAUUUGUUUACCAGUUCCUUGUCAUAGGAAUGUAUAUAAAGUGUCUUGAUUAAGUGUGCCACCAUUGUAUGGCCAUAGACUGUAUAAAUGUAUGAACUGUUAUUGAUGUACAUUAUGUUUUUAUACAUAUGUUUUAAAAUUCAAUAUAUAAUAGUUUUGUUUUUUCAUGCAGAUGUUUAUGAAAUUAAAAAUGGUGUAUAACUUAUGCCAUAUAAAGUUACAUACAUUGAUUUGGAUCAAGCAUCACUGAUGUGUCAUUUGUAAAUGAAAUAGUCUGUAUAAAAAAUUUAAAUCCUGGUUACUAUGAAGAUUUAUAUACUGACUGCCACGGUUUGUUUUCUUAUCAUUAUAUUUUUUUUCCCAAAAAAAAGUAUCUUUCUUCAUUUGCAUCGCAUUGCAGUGGGUGAAGGGAGAUAACUCAAAUCCAGAUGAACUCUAAAUAUUAAUGCAACAGCAACUUCUAAUUUCAAAACUGCUUUUUCAAGAUCAAAAAAUAUUUUCUUAAAAUAAUUUGUGUAGGUUGCAUUUAAUAAGCAUUAUAAAAAUUAUAAAGAUUAGUUUGUCUGUCAUAGAAGGAAAUCAUGGAAAUAUAGGAAUAAAACCUUGUUCCAUAAUUUUUUAGUGUCAGAACAGAUUAUGCUUUGAUAAAGUGCUGAAACUUUAAAUUUGGGUUUAUUAUAUUGCACUUACUAGUAUUUGAAUGUAAAUACAAUGGAACUAUCUCUUAAUAAAACUUGUCUCUAGAUAUAUUGAUUUAUUUAGAGUUGCAGUUUAAUAUGACAGUAGGCUAUUAACAAUGUUGAGUCCCUUUGUAAUCCAUUAUGUUAUUUUUCAUAAUAUUUAAUCAUUAAUGAUAAAAUCAUUUAUAUUAGGAUGAAUUUGUAUUAACUUUUUGUUUUCUAUGAUAUUUGCAAAACAGUUUUGAUAUUGUGUGUAAUUUACAAGUUUGUUGAGUUUCAACAGGGAUACUAAUGCUACUGUGAUGCUAACUAAGGUCCAGGUAAUAGUAACCAUAUCUUCACAAUGUGCAAAAGGGAUAUGGCACUUUAUCAAGACUGCUACUCGACCAGUCUUUAAUCUUGAAUAUUCAUAUAUGCAGAAUGUUUUCACAUGUAUACAAAACUAUUUUCAAAUUAUCCUUUUAUAAUAAAAAAAACCAACAUGAAUAUCAACUCUGUGACAAUUUAACCAUGCAGGGUUUUUUGGCAGUGCUAAAUGACAAAAAAAAAUAUUCUUGUUUGGAAGAUCUAAAACUUGUGAAAGGCUUUGUAUAGAAUGAAAGUAAACUUUAUGAUUAUACAAUGAUCAGUCUUUCUCCUAAUAUUUCUGUCUUGAGUUGCAUUUUGAAAAUUGAAAAAAAAUAUGUUCAGACUAAUUUGAUUACUAAACAGGUUAUUCAG